rnacentral:rRNA from 1 species
CGGGGAAUAUUGCACAAUGGGGGAAACCCUGAUGCAGCGACGCCGCGUGAAGGAAGAAGUAUCUCGGUAUGUAAACUUCUAUCAGCAGGGAAGAAAAUGACGGUACCUGACUAAGAAGCCCCGGCUAACUACGUGCCAGCAGCCGCGGUAAUACGUAGGGGGCAAGCGUUAUCCGGAUUUACUGGGUUUAAAGGGAGCGUAGACGGCAUUGUAAGUCUGAUGUGAAAGGCGGGGGCUCAACUCCCGGACUGCAUUGGAAACUACAGAGCUUGAGUGCCGGAGGGGUAAGCGGAAUUCCUAGUGUAGCGGUGAAAUGCGUAGAUAUUAGGAGGAACACCAGUGGCGAAGGCGGCUUACUGGACGGUAACUGACGUUGAGGCUCGAAAGCGUGGGGAGCAAACAGGAUUAGAUACCCUGGUA